rnacentral:rRNA from 1 species
UGGGGAAUUUUGGACAAUGGGCGAAAGCCUGAUCCAGCAAUGCCGCGUGUGUGAAGAAGGCCUUCGGGUUGUAAAGCACUUUUGUCCGGAAAGAAAUCCUUGGCUCUAAUACAGUCGGGGGAUGACGGUACCGGAAGAAUAAGCACCGGCUAACUACGUGCCAGCAGCCGCGGUAAUACGUAGGGUGCAAGCGUUAAUCGGAAUUACUGGGCGUAAAGCGUGCGCAGGCGGUUUGCUAAGACCGAUGUGAAAUCCCCGGGCUCAACCUGGGAACUGCAUUGGUGACUGGCAGGCUAGAGUAUGGCAGAGGGGGGUUAGAAUUCCACGUGUAGCAGUGAAAUGCGUAGAGAUGUGGAGGAAUACCGAUGGCGAAGGCAGCCCCCUGGGCCAAUACUGACGCUCAUGCACGAAAGCGUGGGGAGCAAACAGGAUUAGAUACCCUGGUAGUCCACGCCCUAAACGAUGUCAACUAGUUGUUGGGGAUUCAUUUCCUUAGUAACGUAGCUAACGCGUGAAGUUGACCGCCUGGGGAGUACGGUCGCAAGAUUAAAACUUAAAUGAAUUGACGGGGUC